AGUCCAAUACCGGCUGAUCGGCAAUCAGGAUGGAGAAGAUAGCAAUCCUGGCAGUCGCCCUACUGACGUUUUCAAAGUGUCUUUGGGCAACCCUGGAAUUUGACCCGCAGAGUUUCUGUAAUGGGUUCCUUAUUGCUUCUCAUGGCUGGUACACUUUAACACACUCAUUUGCUCUUUAUAUUUCCUGGAUUCAAAGUUGUGAUCAGGCCUGCGGUCUCCUAUAUUCAGGAACAUACAAGUUAAUUAUUUUCAGAAGGAGCAAUGCAAUGUCUAUGUUUUACUCAAAUGUUUAACAAAGUGAAAUGUUAUGUACACUUAAGUUCAUCAAUUUCAAAUAUGGUAUUUUAUGAGUUUUGAGAAAUAUAUGCAGUCAAGAAACUUGUCACAAUGAUAUAGACAUGUCCACGAUCCUGAAAGCUUUGUGUGCCUUUUGUAGUCAGAUUCCUCUGGCUGCCUACUGAAGACCACUAAUUUUCUUUUAUCACUAUGGCUUUGGCUUUUCUAGAAUUUUAAGCAAUUGAAAUUGUGUGUCAUAGCAUCUUUUGUUUUCUUGUGCUUUGUUUGAGAAUUACCUCUGUUUCUGUGUGUAUUGGUCAUAUGUAUGUAUGUAUGUAUGUAUGUGUGUAUGUAUGUAUGUAUGUAUGUGUAUUUGAUACAGGUUUUACCUAUAUGUCCCAGGUUUCCCUGGAACUCACAAUUUUUCCCCAGCCUCCUGAGGGCUAGGAAGGGAGGCAUGCAGCACCACACUUACUUCUUUCAUUGUUGAGUGGUGUUUGAAUACGGAUAUGCUAUGUGUGGUUUGUUAAUCCAUUCAACAGUUGAUGGAGAUUUGGGUUACUUCAAGUUUGGGGCCAAUCUGUAUAAAACUAUUGAAUAUAGCUGAUGCCUGAUCAAUUCAUUAAAACAGCCAAAUACUUAGAAUUUCUCUUUUCCUAGCAUGGAUUCCUUCCCAGGUGCUGAGAGCUGUCCGUGCAGUAAGAAUUUCAAGUCAUUUCAUUUUGUACUAUAGUCACAGUUUGUAUUUGUGUUCUGGUCUGUUAGCCUCUCAGUUUGCCAUUUCCCAAAGUAUUAGCCUUAAAAGUAGUUGUGUUUUAUUAUUUCUUUUCACUUAUAAUUUUGUUUAAACUUUCAGUACUUUUUUUUUAAUGAAAGAUAAAACUCUACAUCUACUACUUAAUGACCCAGGGGUAAACUUUCUGGAAAGGCAGGAUUAAUGACUCAUUCUUUCUUCUAACUUAUUUAAUUUUUGAGAUAAUGAAUUAGUUUCUAGACACCCACAGGUGGUUAAUUAAUCUUAGAUACAUAGUUGUGAUGAAUGGUUAAUUCCCAUAUUAGUCUGUUUCCCAUAUUCCAACAAAAUAGCCAACAUAUAUAAAAGUAUCACAAGAAACUAUGAGUAUAAAAUAGAUAUUCUCAGCAAGCAUAUCAUAUAACACAUACCUGCAAAAAUUAUACAAAUUUAAUGGAACUUAUUCAAGGUUUGCAAGAUUCAAAAUGAACAAAACAUACUGAUGUAAUUCAUUGCACUCACAGGCUAAAGAAAAGGCCUGGGAUCAUGUUCUAUC
ensembl:processed_transcript